GUUAACUCCUGUUAGCAAUGUUCCCUCUAAGCUGCGCGCGUGCGCGGCCGCGCAGGCCAGCCAAAGUGGCCGCGCAAUAGAUUUGUCAGACCGCGCACAUUUUUCAGACCGCACAUAAACAUUGAUGCAUUUGCUGUUGUAAAAGAAUUAAGAGAGAGAGAAGGCGAGUGUUCUAGAAGGAGAAGAAACUUUCAACCAAUCGCUGAUCUUGCUACGGUGACAGACACUUUUAUGAGCCAAUGGUAGCAGCGCAUUCAGUUCACACAGUGACGCUGCCAGCACGGACGAGCACAGAGUGAGAGCGAGCCAGAUGAGCAGCUGCACGGGUCGAUCUCAAGAAACUAAAAUAUUUAUUAAGAGGAAAAAGUUCAGAUUCAAAACAGUGAUUUAAAACAAAUUAUUGGAUUCCUGAAGUGAUGCGAUAACUUGGAAAAGCUGUCGCUAGAGUGAGGAGAGAGCAAAAUAGAGAAUUAGAACGGAGGCAGAUGCAGAAUCACAGAGCAUCAAAACACUGCGAAUGAACUUCUUCUUUUAAAUAAGAAGUUAAAAUGUAUGCUUUGGCUGGGUUUUUUUGUGAGAAUUUCGAACAUCUGUAAAGUUCUCCUGCUCCAUCUUGGACACGCGAGACAAUUAAGUGAAGGUGUAUACAAAAAGG